rnacentral:sRNA from 1 species
CUGCUUUCUGACCUCAGAUAACCAUAGAACCGAGCGGUCGGAAGUUCGAGCCGAGCGUAGCGAGACAACGUUGCUUUAGCAACGGCCCGCAGGGCGAGGCGAAGCCGAGUCAUCUUCCUGGGUGCACCA